CAUAGCAUACGAUCAUGUCAUUCCGCAUCAUGUUCAAAUUCAGAAAUUAUAAUUAUGUAUGUAUUAUGUCAUGCAUCUCAUGUGUAUAACACGUAUGCUAUCUUAAGUUCAAAGUGCGAGAUAAGAUCAUAUCAGUUAAUAAUAUGGCCAUUCAGACGCAUGGUACCAAUGCAGUUCAGUUUCAGGGUGGAUGUGUAAGCCACAGACUCAAGCGUAGUCCACCAUAGUUUGCCAGAAUACUAUCAGCGGCUCCCCUUGCUGCAGCGGGAUGUGGGGCCAGUGCACAACCUCAUACACAGGGUUAAGUGUGUUGGUCAGUCAGAUCAAUUGGAUAAUUCAGAUAAAUCUGUUAUGCAUAGCAUAAGUAUCAAUAUGAACAGUCAUGAUUUUUAAGUUCUCAGCAUGAAAUUUUUUUUUGAAAACCUUAUGUUUAUUAUGUUUACGUUGUGAUAGAUUUCUUAGUGAGUUUUCGACUCAUUUUAGUUUUAUUUCAUGUUUUUAACCACCCAGGUAAGGAUGAUGAACACGAGAAGGCAGGCAAGGAGCAGAAAGAAAACUUAAUUUACUUUCAU